rnacentral:rRNA from 1 species
GACGAACGCUGGCGGCGUGCUUAACACAUGCAAGUCGAGCGGAAAGGCCCUUCGGGGUACUCGAGCGGCGAACGGGUGAGUAACACGUGAGUAACCUGCCCUUGGCUUUGGGAUAACUACCGGAAACGGUGGCUAAUACCGGAUACGACAACCGUCUGCAUGGGCUGGUUGUGGAAAGUUUUUUCGGCCAGGGAUGUGCUCGCGGCCUAUCAGCUUGUUGGUGGGGUAAUGGCCUACCAAGGCUUCGACGGGUAGCCGGCCUGAGAGGGUGACCGGCCACACUGGGACUGAGACACGGCCCAGACUCCUACGGGAGGCAGCAGUGGGGAAUAUUGGACAAUGGGCGGAAGCCUGAUCCAGCAACGCCGCGUGAGGGAUGACGGCCUUCGGGUUGUAAACCUCUUUCAGUACCGACGAAGCGCCGAUGAUGGUGGUGACGGUAGGUACAGAAGAAGCACCGGCCAACUACGUG